AUUGAACGCUGGUGGCAUGCUUUACACAUGCAAGUCGAACGGUAACAGGCCUUCGGGCGCUGACGAGUGGCGAACGGGUGAGUAAUGCAUCGGAACGUGCCCAGAGGUGGGGGAUAACGCAGCGAAAGCUGUGCUAAUACCGCAUAUUAUCUGAGGAUGAAAGCGGGGGACUAAGCAGCAAUGUUUGGCCUCGCGCCUUUGGAGCGGCCGAUGUCAGAUUAGGUAGUUGGUGGGGUAAAGGCCUACCAAGCCGACGAUCUGUAGCUGGUCUGAGAGGACGACCAGCCACACUGGGACUGAGACACGGCCCAGACUCCUACGGGAGGCAGCAGUGGGGGAAUUUUGGACAAUGGGGGGCAACCCUGAUCCAGCAAUGCCGCGUGAGUGAAGAAGGCCUUCGGGUUGUAAAGCUCUUUGUCAGGGAGAAACACCGCUCUAACACAGUCCGGGAACGUGACGGGUAACCUCGAAGAAUAAAGCACCGGCUAACUACGUGCC
rnacentral:rRNA from 1 species